rnacentral:tRNA from 1 species
AUCUCACGCCGGGAAUCGAACCUAGGCCUCCAGGGUGAGAGCCAGGUAUCCUAGCCACUAGACCACAUGGUAGA